GGGUGAGUAACGCGUAUCCAACCUGCCCGCCACUUGGGGAUAACCUUGCGAAAGUAAGACUAAUACCCAAUGAUAUCUCUAGAAGGCAUCUGAAAGAGAUUAAAGAUUUAUCGGUGAUGGAUGGGGAUGCGUCUGAUUAGCUUGUUGGCGGGGUAACGGCCCACCAAGGCAACGAUCAGUAGGGGUUCUGAGAGGAAGGUCCCCCACAUUGGAACUGAGACACGGUCCAAACUCCUACGGGAGGCAGCAGUGAGGAAUAUUGGUCAAUGGACGAGAGUCUGAACCAGCCAAGUAGCGUGCAGGAAGACGGCCCUAUGGGUUGUAAACUGCUUUUAUAAGGGAAUAAAGUGAGUCUCGUGAGACUUUUUGCAUGUACCUUAUGAAUAAGGACCGGCUAAUUCCGUGCCAGCAGCCGCGGUAAUACGGAAGGUCCGGGCGUUAUCCGGAUUUAUUGGGUUUAAAGGGAGCGUAGGCCGGAGAUUAAGCGUGUUGUGAAAUGUAGAUGCUCAACAUCUGAACUGCAGCGCGAACUGGUUUCCUUGAGUACGCACAAAGUGGGCGGAAUUCGUGGUGUAGCGGUGAAAUGCUUAGAUAUCACGAAGAACUCCGAUUGCGAAGGCAGCUCACUGGAGCGCAACUGACGCUGAAGCUCGAAAGUGCGGGUAUCGAACAGGAUUAGAUACCCUGGUAGUCCGCACGGUAAACGAUGGAUGCCCGCUGUUGGUCUGAAUAGGUCAGCGGCCAAG
rnacentral:rRNA from 1 species